GGAUUUUAGCUCAGUGGUAGAGCGCUUGCCUAGGAAGCGCAAGGCCCUGGGUUCGAUCCCCAGCUCCG
rnacentral:tRNA from 1 species